rnacentral:misc_RNA from 1 species
GUGAAUCAUCGAAUUUUUGAACGCAAAUUGCACUCUCCUCGGAGAGAAUGCUUGUUUGAGGGCAAGCUUUUAAAAAAUCGCCAUCGUUGCUGUCUCGCGGUGGCGUUCGUCGGAAUUUGGGCAAUCUUAAAUCCUUUUGUUUUUUAAGCGCCUUAAAAUUUCCUUUUUGGUUCAUUGAACGUUUCUAAGUUUUAUUUCUUUACACGUUUAAGGUAUCGAUUUUUAUUAGCCGUGACCUUAAUAU